ensembl:lncRNA
CCUGUUUGGCCAGAAGGAGGAGGGACAGGAGGAAAGAGGAUUAAGAAGAACGAGUUUCGGGUGGGGAGUAUCUACAAGAGAAGAUGAGAAAGGUUGAUGAAGGCUGUAGCUGGACAGGCCCUCGUGGCUCAGACGGUAGAGUCUGGCUGCAAUGUGGGAGACCUGGGUUUGAUCCCUGGGUCAGGAAGAUUCCCUAGAGAAGGAAAUGGCAACCCACUCCAGUAUUCUUGCCUGGAGAAUCCCAUGGACAGAGAAGCCUG